rnacentral:lncRNA from 1 species
CAGAACUAAUCUAUGAGUCCCCAUUUUUCACCUUAAUGAAUGCCAAAGGUGACUCAUAAACUUACAUCACUAUUGGAGUUGUUUUUGGAAUACCAUCUAGGUGCACACUUCACCAAUAUAAAAAUCAAUAACAUGUAAACCAUCAAGGCUCCAAGACAAUCAUUUAUAAAUUUUUACCAUAUAAAAACCAUCUCGUAAUCCCUUUCCUACUGAUAGCAACAUUUCCGUUCAUUAUGCGCGUGUGCGAGUGAUAGUGUUGAUUAGGUUUGUCUCAAUUUAUAAAGUUUAAUUGACAUUCAUCACUUGUCCUAUGAAAAAACUCACCACCUUUAUCUUUUGAGAGAGACGCCUUUGGAAAAGAAAAAUCAGAUGUAACAUUUCAAAUCUUACUCCUUAGACUCCCUUUCAUUUUAUUUAUUUAUUUAUUAUUUGUUUUUCCAUCCUUCAAAACGAUGUGCUAUAAUAUUAGAGAUUUCAUUGAGAAUUUACCAUAUCUAAUAUAUCCUAAUCAUUACGGAAUGACACUCACUGAUAAAGGCGUCUCUAUAAUAAAGUAGUUAAAACUUCACCAAAAGAAGGCACAAAAAGACUCAUCAUAUAUUUAACAAAUGUGCACCACAGGUGUUUAAUAAAUUGCAGAUGAGAUCCCUAGAUCAAAAUGUCAAAGGGUGCAUUUGGUUUAACAUUUCCAAUGGACUUUUAGCCUCUAAAGCCUCUUGAGGAAAUGCUGAACUGUUUGGUAAUCAUUUUAAAGUAGUUUUCAAAUGAAAGUCAACAUUGGGAAAGCUGAAAGCCCAAUACCAGUAGGGACUAGCUUUAAGCUUUCAACGUUUGGCCAAAUGCCGAAACUUCUUUUUUUCUUCCAAAACUAUCUUCACUCAUUCUUCAAAUUUCUGAUUUUGCCCUCAUUAUUAUUUUUUUAAAUGCCAAAAUAAUGCUAAAAAAAUCAAAUAUAUAUAAGUGCUAAAAAAAUUAAAUAUAUUUUGGUUUUUUAAAUUAUUUAUAUAUUUGAUUUUUUAGCAUAUAUAUUUAAUUUUUUAGCAUUAUUGUCAAAAUUUAUAUUAAAAAAGUUAC